rnacentral:lncRNA from 1 species
UGGAUUUACAUUUCGGGUUAAUGACCUAAAUGGUCUUUUAAUUAUUGCUUCAGUAUCAUUUUGGUCCACCAACUAAAAUUUUCAUUUCAAACGUCCUUAAACUUUUAUUUUGUACCAAGAUGGUCCAUUCGUCAAAGUCUGUGUAUUAUUCCGUGAAAUCGAGGGACAAAACCGUAUUUUUAGGUGAGUAUCCUCCUCUAAAAGGG